AUACGUAGGGAGCAAGCGUUGUCCGGAUUUACUGGGUGUAAAGGGUGCGUAGGCGGCUCUGCAAGUCAGGUGUGAAAACCAUGGGCUUAACUCAUGGAUUGCAUUUGAAACUGUGGAGCUUGAGUGAAGUAGAGGCAGGCGGAAUUCCCGGUGUAGCGGUGAAAUGCGUAGAGAUCGGGAGGAACACCAGUGGCGAAGGCGGCCUGCUGGGCUUUAACUGACGCUGAGGCACGAAAGCAUGGGUAGCAAACAGGAUUAGAUACCCUGGUAGUCCAUGCCGUAAACGAUGAUUACUAGGUGUGGGGGGUCUGACCCCUUCCGUGCCGGAGUUAACACAAUAAGUAAUCCACCUGGGGAGUACGGCCGCAAGGUUGAA
rnacentral:rRNA from 1 species